rnacentral:rRNA from 1 species
GACGAACGCUGGCGGCGUGCCUAAUACAUGCAAGUAGAACGCUGAAGAGAGGAGCUUGCUCUUCUUGGAUGAGUUGCGAACGGGUGAGUAACGCGUAGGUAACCUGCCUUGUAGCGGGGGAUAACUAUUGGAAACGAUAGCUAAUACCGCAUAACAAUGGAUGACACAUGUCAUUUAUUUGAAAGGGGCAAUUGUUCCACUACAAGAUGGACCUGCGUUGUAUUAGCUAGUAGGUGAGGUAAUGGCUCACCUAGGCGACGAUACAUAGCCGACCUGAGAGGGUGAUCGGCCACACUGGGACUGAGACACGGCCCAGACUCCUACGGGAGGCAGCAGUAGGGAAUCUUCGGCAAUGGGGGCAACCCUGACCGAGCAACGCCGCGUGAGUGAAGAAGGGUUUCGGAUCGGAAAGCUCUGUUGUAAGUCAAGAACGGGUGUGAGAGUGGAAAGUUCACACUGUGACGGUAGCUUACCAGAAAGGGACGGCUAACUACGUG